rnacentral:rRNA from 1 species
AGUGAACGCUGGCGGUAGGCCUAACACAUGCAAGUCGAACGGCAGCACAGUAAGAGCUUGCUCUUACGGGUGGCGAGUGGCGGACGGGUGAGGAAUACAUCGGAAUCUACUUUUUCGUGGGGGAUAACGUAGGGAAACUUACGCUAAUACCGCAUACGGCCUACGGGUGAAAGCAGGGGAUCUUCGGACCUUGCGCGAUUGAAUGAGCCGAUGUCGGAUUAGCUAGUUGGCGGGGUAAAGGCCCACCAAGGCGACGAUCCGUAGCUGGUCUGAGAGGAUGAGCAGCCACACUGGAACUGAGACACGGUCCAGACUCCUACGGGAGGCAGCAGUGGGGAAUAUUGGACAAUGGGCGCAAGCCUGAUCCAGCCAUACCGCGUGGGUGAAGAAGGCCUUCGGGUUGUAAAGCCCUUUUGUUGGGAAAGAAAAGCAGCAGGUUAAUACCCCGCUGUUCUGACGGUACCCAAAGAAUAAGCACCGGCUAACUUCGUG